rnacentral:rRNA from 1 species
CCUACGGGAGGCAGCAGUGAGGAAUAUUGGUCAAUGGACGAGAGUCUGAACCAGCCAAGUCGCGUGAAGGAUGACUGCCCUAUGGGUUGUACACUUCUUUUAUAAAGGAGUAAAACGAGGCACGUGUGCCUUUUUGCAUGUACUUUAUGAAUAAGGAUCGGCUAACUCCGUGCCAGCAGCCGCGGUAAUACGGAGGAUGAGAGCGUUAUCCGGAUUUAUUGGGUUUAAAGGGUGCGUAGGCGGGCUGUUAAGUCAGCGGUAAAAAUUCGGGGCUCAACCCCGUCCGGUCGUUGAAACUGGGGGCCUUGAGUGGGCGAGAAGAAGGCGGAAUGCGUGGUGUAGCGGUGAAAUGCAUAGAUAUCACGCAGAACCCCGAUUGCGAAGGCAGCCUUCCGGCGCCCUACUGACGCUGAGGCACGAAAGUGCGGGGAUCGAACAGGAUUAGAUACCCGUGUAGUC